GACGAACCGUCCAAACGUUAUUCGGAAUCACUGGGCUUACAGAGUUCGUAGGCGGUCUGGAAAGUUGGGUGUGAAAUCCCUCGGCUCAACCGAGGAACUGCGCUUGAAACUACCAGACUCGAGGGAGAUAGAGGAAAGCGGAGCUGAUGGUGGAGCGGUGAAAUGCGUUGAUAUCAUCAGGAACACCGGUGGCGAAGGCGGCUUUCUGGGUCUUACCUGACGCUGAGGAACGAAAGCCAGGGGAGCGAACGGG
rnacentral:rRNA from 1 species